rnacentral:rRNA from 1 species
GAUGAACGCUGGCGGCGUGCCUAAUACAUGCAAGUCGAGCGAACGGACGAGAAGCUUGCUUCUCUGAUGUUAGCGGCGGACGGGUGAGUAACACGUGGAUAACCUACCUAUAAGACUGGGAUAACUUCGGGAAACCGUAGCUAAUACCGGAUAAUAUUUUGAACCGCAUGGUUCAAAAGUGAAAGACGGUCUUGCUGUCACUUAUAGAUGGAUCCGCGCUGCAUUAGCUAGUUGGUAAGGUAACGGCUUACCAAGGCAACGAUGCAUAGCCGACCUGAGAGGGUGAGCGGCCACACUGGAACUGAGACACGGUCCAGACUCCUACGGGAGGCAGCAGUGGGGAAUCUUCCGCAAGGGGCGAAAGCCUGACGGAGCAACGCCGCGUGAGUGAUGAAGGUCUUCGGAUCGUAAAACUCUGUUAUUAGGGAAGAACAUAUGUGUAAGUAACUGUGCACAUCUUGACGGUACCUAAUCAGAAAGCCACGGCUAACUACG